ensembl:lncRNA
GUAUGGAGCCUCGAAUAGUUCCAAACAACCAUUUUACGGCGUAGGAGACCGUUCAUUUCCAUUGCUGGCCGCCGAGUAACUUCUGAGUUGCCUUAUUAGGUCCUCCACAGUCGCCCCAUCAGUCCCUGGCAGUCUGGUCCCUGGAGCAGCUGGCCCUGGCAAAAGUUAUUCCUUCACUGUUGACCCCUGACUGACUGGCCCUCGGCACACAAAUCCCUGGAUCACCUGCCACUGGAUCACCUGCCACUGGAUCACCUGCCCCUGAAUCACCUGCCCCUGGCAAUGUGGCCUCUUGAUUGCUCUCUCUGUCUCCUGUGAUGUCCUUUUCAACGCUCUUGAAAUCCACCUAAAUUUCUCCCUCAAUCUCUGUAACAAUUACAAGGGCGAUGGAUGAAAACUGUUGGGCCUGCAUCGGGCCUCAACUUCAACAUCCUAUCUACUUUUGUGGCUUUGAAUUGGUCAUUUCCAAAGUGUACCUGUAGGUAGGCUUUAAUAUCAGUUUCCGUUGCACUUCAAAUAUCAUUGGAAAGUCAUAAUUCUCU